UGGGGCGUAGCUCAAUUGGCAGAGCGACGGACUCUGACUCCGUAGGUUGUAGGUUCGAUCCCUACCGCCCCAGCCA
rnacentral:tRNA from 1 species